GAUGAACGCUGGCGGCGUGCCUAAUACGUGCAAGUCGAGCGAACGGACGAGAAGCUUGCUUCUCUGAUGUUAGCGGCGGACGGGUGAGUAACACGUGGAUAACCUACCUAUAAGACUGGGAUAACUUCGGGAAACCGGAGCUAAUACCGGAUAAUAUUUUGAACCGCAUGGUUCAAAAGUGAAAGACGGUCUUGCUGUCACUUAUAGAUGGAUCCGCGCUGCAUUAGCUAGUUGGUAAGGUAACGGCUUACCAAGGCAACGAUGCAUAGCCGACCUGAGAGGGUGAUCGGCCACACUGGAACUGAGACACGGUCCAGACUCCUACGGGAGGCAGCAGUAGGGAAUCUUCCGCAAUGGGCGAAAGCCUGACGGAGCAACGCCGCGUGAGUGAUGAAGGUCUUCGGAUCGUAAAACUCUGUUAUUAGGGAAGAACAUAUGUGUAAGUAACUGUGCACAUCUUGACGGUACCUAAUCAGAAAGCCACGGCUAACUACGUGUCAGCAGCCGCGGUAAUACGUAGGUGGCAAGCGUUAUCCGGAAUUAUUGGGCGUAAAGCGCGCGUAGGCGGUUUUUUAAGUCUGAUGUGAAAGCCCACGGCUCAACCGUGGAGGGUCAUUGGAAACUGGAAAACUUGAGUGCAGAAGAGGAAAGUGGAAUUCCAUGUGUAGCGGUGAAAUGCGCAGAGAUAUGGAGGAACACCAGUGGCGAAGGCGACUUUCUGGUCUGUAACUGACGCUGAUGUGCGAAAGCGUGGGGAUCAAACAGGAUUAGAUACCCUGGUAGUCCACGCCGUAAACGAUGAGUGCUAAGUGUUAGGGGGUUUCCGCCCCUUAGUGCUGCAGCUAACGCAUUAAGCACUCCGCCUGGGGAGUACGACCGCAAGGUUGAAACUCAAAGGAAUUGACGGGGACCCGCACAAGCGGUGGAGCAUGUGGUUUAAUUCGAAGCAACGCGAAGAACCUUACCAAAUCUUGACAUCCUUUGACAGCUCUAGAGAUAGAGCCUUCCCCUUCGGGGGACAAAGUGACAGGUGGUGCAUGGUUGUCGUCAGCUCGUGUCGUGAGAUGUUGGGUUAAGUCCCGCAACGAGCGCAACCCUUAAGCUUAGUUGCCAUCAUUAAGUUGGGCACUCUAAGUUGACUGCCGGUGACAAACCGGAGGAAGGUGGGGAUGACGUCAAAUCAUCAUGCCCCUUAUGAUUUGGGCUACACACGUGCUACAAUGGACAAUACAAAGGGCAGCGAAACCGCGAGGUCAAGCAAAUCCCAUAAAGUUGUUCUCAGUUCGGAUUGUAGUCUGCAACUCGACUACAUGAAGCUGGAAUCGCUAGUAAUCGUAGAUCAGCAUGCUACGGUGAAUACGUUCCCGGGUCU
rnacentral:rRNA from 1 species